ACGUAGGGCGCAAGCGUUGUCCGGAAUUAUUGGGCGUAAAGAGCUCGUAGGCGGUUUGUCGCGUCUGCUGUGAAAGCCCGGGGCUCAACCCCGGGUCUGCAGUGGGUACGGGCAGACUAGAGUGCAGUAGGGGAGACUGGAAUUCCUGGUGUAGCGGUGAAAUCGCGACGUAUAUAGGAGGAACACCGAUGGCGAAGGCAGGUCUCUGGGCUGUUACUGACGCUGAGGAGCGAAAGCAUGGGGAGCGAACAGGAUUA
rnacentral:rRNA from 1 species